rnacentral:tRNA from 1 species
GCCUCAAUAGCUCAGCUGGUUAGAGCAUCAGUUUUGUAAACUGAGGGUCGGGGGUUCGAAUCCCUCUUGAGGCU